rnacentral:tRNA from 1 species
AGUUUGGAGAAUUCAUUUAUUUAGAUUGCAAAUCUAAGGUUUAUGUGGAUUUCGCAU